UAGAUUGGGAUGAAGCGAAAUAAAUUAAUCCAACACUUAAUCUAAGUGAUGUUUAACAACUUGCUUAUGAAUCUAU